rnacentral:sRNA from 1 species
GCCGGGUGAGGUGGUGCAGGCCUGUAAUCUCAGCAUCUUGGGAGGUUGAGGCAGGAGGAUCACGAGUUCAAAGCCAGCCUCAGCCAUAGCAAGCAAGGCCCUUAGCAACUCAGCGAGACCCUGUCUCUA